rnacentral:rRNA from 1 species
AGCGAACGUUUGCGGCGGGCCUAACACAUGCAAGUCGAACGCACUAGCAAUAGUGAGUGGCGCACGGGUGCGUAACACGUGGGUAAUCAACCCUUCAGCUUGGGAUAACGACUUGAAAGGGUCGCUAAUACCGGAUACGGCGCGGGAGGCUUCGGCUUCUCACGAGAAAGCCUCGCAAGGGGCACUGAAGGACGAGCCUGCGGCCCAUCAGCUAGUUGGUGAGGUAAGAGCUCACCAAGGCGAAGACGGGUAGCUGGUCUGAGAGGAUGAUCAGCCACACUGGAACUGAGACACGGUCCAGACUCCUACGGGAGGCAGCAGUGGGGAAUAUUGCGCAAUGGGCGAAAGCCUGACGCAGCCACGCCGCGUGAGCGAUGAAGGCCUCGGUCGUAAGACUCUGUGGGGAGGAGACGAAGAAAGACCCGUGAAGAGCGGGCCGUUGACGGUAGUCUCCUUAGCAAGCACCGGCUAACUACGUGCCAGCAGCCGCGGUAA